GCCGUGAUCGUAUAGUGGUUAGUACUCUGCGUUGUGGUCGCAACAGCCCCGGUUCGAAUCCGGGUCACGGCA
rfam:Astyanax mexicanus Tnplaced_Scaffold3491, whole genome shotgun sequence.